rnacentral:lncRNA from 1 species
UUGUGCUCGUAAUCGAAUUAUUUGUGCCAUUAAUUUUGCAAACACAAGGUUGCGUGAUGACAAUAGGCACACAUGAGACCAUCUAGUGGAUGCGUCUAUUAAGACCAUAACAUAUCUAAAGGACCCACUAGGUGGGUGAAUAGGUCCACAAAUAUCCCCUUGUAUACGUUCCAAAAACGUAGGUGACUCAGUUCAAACCUUUGUUGGUGAUGGUCUAAUAAUUAUCUUGC